GAAAGGAAGAUUAAUCCAGGAUGGGAUCAUGAGUUCACAUGUCCGCAUGAUUAAAGGUAUUUUCCGGUAGACGAUGGGGAUGCGUUCCAUUAGAUAGUAGGCGGGGUAACGGCCCACCUAGUCAACGAUGGAUAGGGGUUCUGAGAGGAAGGUCCCCCACAUUGGAACUGAGACACGGUCCAAACUCCUACGGGAGGCAGCAGUGAGGAAUAUUGGUCAAUGGGCGAUGGCCUGAACCAGCCAAGUAGCGUGAAGGAUGACUGCCCUAUGGGUUGUAAACUUCUUUUAUAAAGGAAUAAAGUCGGGUAUGCAUACCCGUUUGCAUGUACUUUAUGAAUAAGGAUCGGCUAACUCCGUGCCAGCAGCCGCGGUAAUACGGAGGAUCCGAGCGUUAUCCGGAUUUAUUGGGUUUAAAGGGAGCGUAGAUGGAUGUUUAAGUCAGUUGUGAAAGUUUGCGGCUCAACCGUAAAAUUGCAGUUGAUACUGGAUGUCUUGAGUGCAGUUGAGGCAGGCGGAAUUCGUGGUGUAGCGGUGAAAUGCUUAGAUAUCACGAAGAACUCCGAUUGCGAAGGCAGCCUGCUAAGCUGCAACUGACAUUGAGGCUCGAAAGUGUGGGUAUCAAACAGGAUUAGAUACCCUGGUAGUCCACACGGUAAACGAAGAAGACUCGCUGUUUGCGAUAUACGGCAAGCG
rnacentral:rRNA from 1 species